rnacentral:rRNA from 1 species
AUUGAACGCUGGCGGCAUGCUUUACACAUGCAAGUCGAACGGUAACAGGGUGCUUGCACCGCUGACGAGUGGCGAACGGGUGAGUAAUGCGUCGGAACGUGCCGAGUAGUGGGGGAUAACGCAGCGAAAGUUGUGCUAAUACCGCAUACGUACUGAGGGAGAAAGUGGGGGAACUUCGGGCCUCACGCUAUUCGAGCAGCCGACGUCUGAGUAGCUAGUAGGUGAGGUAAAGGCCAACCUAGGCGACGAUCAGUAGCGGGUCUGAGAGGAUGAUCCGCCACACUGGGGCUGAGACACGGCCCAGACUCCUACGGGAGGCAGCAGUGGGGAAUUUUGGACAAUGGGCGAAAGCCUGAUCCAGCCAUGCCGCGUGUCUGAAGAAGGCCUUCGGGUUGUAAAGGACUUUUGUCAGGGAGGAAAUCCCUAGUGCUAAUAACACUGGGGGAUGACAGUACCUGAAGAAUAAGCACCGGCUAACUACGUGCCAGCCGCCGCAGUAA